rnacentral:rRNA from 1 species
GGAUUAGAUACCCUGGUAGUCCACCCCGUAAACGUUGGGAACUAGUUGUGGGGUCCAUUCCACGGAUUCCGUGACGCAGCUAACGCAUUAAGUUCCCCGCCUGGGGAGUACGGCCGCAAGGCUAAAACUCAAAGGAAUUGACGGGGACCCGCACAAGCGGCGGAGCAUGCGGAUUAAUUCGAUGCAACGCGAAGAACCUUACCAAGGCUUGACAUAUACGAGAACGGGCCAGAAAUGGUCAACUCUUUGGACACUCGUAAACAGGUGGUGCAUGGUUGUCGUCAGCUCGUGCCG